rnacentral:rRNA from 1 species
UACGAAGGGGCGUAGCGUUGUUCGGAAUUACUGGGCGUAAAGCGCACGUAGGCGGGUUUGUAAGUAGGGGGUGGAAACCCCACGGGCUCGACCCUGGAACUGCCUUCUAAACUGCAAGCCUGGAGGUCAGGAGAGGCGAGUGGAAUACCGAGUGUAGAGGUGAAAUUCGUAGAUAUUCGGUGGAACACCAGUGGCGAAGGCGACUCGCUGGACUGAUACUGACGCUGAGGUGCGAAAGCGU